GGACUUCAUUUUCCAGGUAUCGCUUGGGGAUAAUGAUAGCACCCCUAGCUCGGCUGUGGAGAGAAUUAAGAGAGAGAGCACAUAGCCCAGAGAGCCAGCGCCGCUCCCAGAACGCCCUCCAAGCGGGCCGCCUCUCCUGCGUCUUCCUUGUCACUUCCUGAGCAGGUGGAGCCGGAGCACAGAUGAGGAAACUGAGGCUCAGAGAGGCGAAGUCACUUGCUUCGAAGCACAAAGGGAUGGGAAGAAGGUUUUGACCCAGCCCCAGAUCUGUUCAUUGAGUGAAGGAAGAGACAGUGGCCAGUCCAGGGACACUGGGUCCAGCAGCAGCCUCCAGGGGCACCCUCUGCAGCGUGCUCCCUCGGGGACACGGAGAAGCCUGGCACCCUCCGAUGGCCCAGGGAGGACGGCCGGCCAGUCCCACGGUCCGACAGGAAGGAGGCACAACUCCUCGGCCCCCUAGAAAAUGGCCUGUGAGGAGGUGAUAAAGGCUAAACGAGGUCGUAGGAUGGGGCCCUAAAGCUAUAGAAGACGAAGAGACACCAGACCUUUCUCCGCCAUGUGAGGACAUUGUCCACAAGCCAAGAGGAGCGCUCACCAGGGACCAAAUUGGCCAGCACCUUGAUCUUGGACUUACCAGCCUCUGGAACCGUGAGAAAAUAAAUUUCUGUGUUUAAGCCACCCAGUGUGGUAUUUUGUUAUGGCAGCUGGGGCUGACUAAUAUGCACACGGUUGACCAAAACUAAACCUAAAAUUCAGUGCCUUAGUC
rnacentral:lncRNA from 1 species